GACGAACGCUGGCGGCGUGCCUAAUACAUGCAAGUAGAACGCUGAAGGAGGAGCUUGCUCUUCUGGAUGAGUUGCGAACGGGUGAGUAACGCGUAGGUAACCUGCCUGGUAGCGGGGGAUAACUAUUGGAAACGAUAGCUAAUACCGCAUAAGAGUAGAUGUUGCAUGACAUUUAUUUAAAAGGUGCAAUUGCAUUACUACUAGAUGGAACUGCGUUGUAUUAGCUAGUUGGUGGGGUAACGGCUUACCAAGGCGACGAUACUUAGCCGACCUGAGAGGGGGGUCGGCCAACCUGGGACUGGGACACGGCCCAGACCCCUACGGGAAGCAGCAGUAGGGAAACUUUGGAAAUGGGCGGAAGUCUGACCGAGCAACGCCGCGUGAGUGGAGAAAGUUUUCAGAUCGUAAAGCUCUGUUGUAAGGGGAGAACGAGUGUGAGAGUGGAAAGUUCACGCUGUGACGGUAUCUUACCAGAAAGGAACGGCUAACUACGUG
rnacentral:rRNA from 1 species